AGACGCCGAGCGGGAUUAGCCGAGCGGUCUCAGGCGCUGCAGGCAUGGACUGUGCGGCUGGUCCCGGUGGAAGUUCGAGUCCUCCCUCGGCCAUGGGCAACGCUUCCAGCCCAUAAUAGUAGUUCCAGUUUCCACUACGCUGCAGUCACCUAACCCCACCGAUCCUCCACCCAUCAGGCGAACUCACCAGUUGAAUAAGCAGAAAUCAACUCAGCACCCAAACAGGCUACCUGAGACAUCUCCUGAUACAUUGGAGCAGCCACAGCACUGUUUCCAUACAAGUUCCAUGGAGCACCAGGGGUACAUUGGAGCAGGACACACAAUGGUUUCCAGACUUAAAGUUUCCCACGUCUACAAUAUGUGCACCAUUCGUUGAGCUGAUAGCACUGCAUUGUGCACUGAUGAAUUUGAUGUUAUUCUUUGCAAUGUAGAAGAUGAAUACUAAUGACAGUAAAUGUGUUGUUAUAGGCUUGUCUUCAGAUCGAGAGCUCAGUGUUGCGGUAAUUUUUUAAAAACCACUAAUUUAUUGACAUAAAAGUAAUGCUGACGAAUUAUGAUAUCGAUUAUGUCAAAAUUCAGCACAAAUAAUUGCAAUGUUCAACUAUCAAACUCUUACAGUGUUACUAGAUUGGCGUACAAUAUGUGUUGGGGAUUACCAGAGAACAGUGAAGAUACACAACGAGAAUACAACGCAGUGCACUCACUUUCAGGAACCUACGUUUAGAUACUUGCAAUAUGCUAUCAACACCAUACAAUGUGCAGUGGAGGAGUGUCUCUGUUGGUACCUUAUGUGUGUGAAUCUUACAGAAAUAUCUAGCGUGCCCUUACAGACCUUGCCCGUCAUAACGCUUCAGAGGAAGUAUUUGCUCUGAUUUACGAUGCAUGCUGUGCUUCUGUACACAGUAUUUGCCACGCAUCAGCAUCACAGCCGGAUGUUGGUGCAGAAUUAUGUGCAUAUUUUAACGUAUUCGUUCACCAUACUGUGUUAACCCAAAUAAAAGGAAAUGAAUAAUAAAUGAUGGUUUCUGACUCUAAA